UACGAAGGGGGCUAGCGUUGCUCGGAAUCACUGGGCGUAAAGCGCACGUAGGCGGAUUGUUAAGUCAGGGGUGAAAUCCUGGAGCUCAACUCCAGAACUGCCUUUGAUACUGGCGAUCUCGAGUCCGGGAGAGGUGAGUGGAACUGCGAGUGUAGAGGUGAAAUUCGUAGAUAUUCGCAAGAACACCAGUGGCGAAGGCGGCUCACUGGCCCGGUACUGACGCUGAGGCGCGAAAGCGUGGGGAGCGAACAGG
rnacentral:rRNA from 1 species